AUGGCCCAAGAACACGCUCAUUCUUCACCCGUAGAGAGACUUUUGAAUUGUGAGGUACCAUUACGAGCUCAAUGUAUAAGAGUGUUAUUCUGUGAAAUAACUCAAAUUUCAAAUCAUUCACAAGCUUCAACUACUCAUGCUAUGGAUGUGGGAGCAACUCCGUUCAUUUGGGCUUUUGAGGAGCGGGAGAAAUAGUUGGAAUUCUAUGAAAGAGUCCCGGGAGCCAGGAUGCAUGCCCGUUUCAUACAACCUGGUGGAGUGGCACAAGAUCUGCCUCUUGGCUUAUGUCGAGAUAUUGAUUCCUCCACACAACAAUUUGCUUCUCGCAUCGACGAAUUAGAAGAGAUGUCAACCGGCAACUAUAUCUGGAAACAACAAUUAGUGAAUAUUGGUACUGGCAAAGGAUUGGGGAUUCAGUGGUGUAAUGUUAAGAGGUCGUGCGACAUGACAUUGGUAGCAACAUGGGGGAAGUUCCCAUUAGGCAACAACGGUUCUGCCUGA
rnacentral:rRNA from 1 species